CUCGCUUUAAAUUUCGCUUAUUCCUAGCAGAAUGAAGUUACUUUUCUCACAGAUUAUACUACUCUCUGUGCUGGUCACCGUCUUGGCUGGCACCCAUAUUCCUACUAAUACCCAUAACCACCAUCAAGGAGCGUCGAGCCAUAUAGAAGCUAAUCGACACGAGUGCAGAUGGAUAAAAGACAAAUAUAAGUGCAUAUAUCAAACUUGUACGGUUUCGUUAGACGGUAAAAAAAGCUGCACGACAAGGGAAGGUCCGCCUACUGCAGAGAUCAUAGCUAAUUCCCAGAGCCAGCUACGCUCCAGCCGUUACCAAUGCAGAUGGAUUGACGGCAGACUAAAAUGCAGGUACCAAAAUUGUACAUUAUCUGUGGACGGUAAAAGAAACUGCACUACCAGGGAAGGUCCACCACCUGCAGACAUAGAUCAGGAACGUUUCGCAGCUCAUACAACAAAAACCAAAUGCAACUGGAAGGCCGACAAUCUAAUAUGCACCAUCGAACGCUGCACUAUUUAUCCCAAUGGCAAAAAGAGUUGCUCAACGACAACGUCAUAAACUAAAUAAAGAAAUUUUAGUUUUUGAAAGGA